rnacentral:rRNA from 1 species
UACAGAGGGUGCAAGCGUUGUUCGGAAUUAUUGGGCGUAAAGCGCGCGUAGGCGGCUUUGCAAGUCGGGUGUGAAAUCCCCAGGCUUAACCUGGGAACUGCAUUCGAGACUGCAUUGCUAGAGUAUGGGAGAGGGAAGUGGAAUUUCAGGUGUAGCGGUGAAAUGCGUAGAUAUCUGAAGGAACAUCAGUGGCGAAAGCGACUUCCUGGACCAAUACUGACGCUCAUGUGCGAAAGCGUGGGGAGCAAACAGG